GAUGGUGGCCCUUGCUUUGCUUCUGCAGUGCAGGCUGGGACUGGAGGCUGAACCCAAGGCCUCCGUCAGCUGCCACAAAUUCACUCUCUCCAGAUCACUGCAAGAGCCCUGGACCUGGAGUGUCAGCAAACCGACUCAGCUUGCUUCCUCCGAGAGAGCUCAGGCUGGUGCGACCUGGAGGCUCUGGAGAGGCCUGGUGCCUGUUCCCUCCCUGCCCAUACCUGCGCUGUUCAGAUCUCUCCCUUUAAGUCAGCUACAAUGGUCCCCACGUUCUUCCCCGAGGCAGUGGCUUGCUAACUUCCAAGACGUGUUCUGAACGGAGAAGCAAAGCUGUGACCAGAGAGCCCUUGGGGUGAAACAUCUGAGGCCUGAGGCUGAGAGAGCCACAGGGGAUGGAAGGAAGCAGUUAAAACCCCGGGGAAAGCUCAGCCCACAAGGAAGGCAGCAGGAAUGGAGAGACUCACUGGCUCUUAGGGUGAUGGAAAGAGGCUCAGUCUCGCUGUACUCAGAGGAGUGUAAGUGAAGACCGGAAUGGAGUCACCAUUGUCAAGGCUGACACCAGUGAGUGUUCCGGGAAGGAUGCUGGGGGACUUUGCUCUUUUCACUGAGCUGCCUAUUUUGGACAUCUUUCAAAUCAGCACAGCACAUAAAGAUGUCCUCACUCA